CCUACGGGUGGCUGCAGUGAGGAAUAUUGGUCAAUGGGCGUAAGCCUGAACCAGCCAAGUCGCGUGAGGGAUGAAGGUCCUAUGGAUCGUAAACCUCUUUUAUAAGGGAAUAAAGUGUGGGACGUGUCCUAUUUUGUAUGUACCUUAUGAAUAAGGAUCGGCUAACUCCGUGCCAGCAGCCGCGGUAAUACGGAGGAUCCGAGCGUUAUCCGGAUUUAUUGGGUUUAAGGGGUGCGUAGGCGGCCUUUUAAGUCAGCGGUGAAAGUCUGUGGCUCAACCAUCGAAUUGCCGUUGAAACUGGGGGGCUUGAGUGUGUUAGGGGCAGGCGGAAUGCGUGGUGUAGCGGUGAAAUGCUUAGAUAUCACGAAGAACACCGAUUGCGAAGGCAACCUGCCAAGCCAUAACUGACGCUGAUGCACGAAAGCGUGGGGAUCAAACAGGAUUAGAUACCCUAGUAGUC
rnacentral:rRNA from 1 species